rnacentral:rRNA from 1 species
UAAGGAAUAUUGGUCAAUGGACGCAAGUCUGAACCAGCCAUGCCGCGUGAAGGAUGAAGGUCCUCUGGAUUGUAAACUUCUUUUAUCUGGGACGAAAACGGGAUUUUUAUCUCAAUUGACGGUACCAGAGGAAUAAGCACCGGCUAACUCCGUGCCAGCAGCCGCGGUAAUACGGAGGGUGCGAGCGUUAUCCGGAUUUACUGGGUUUAAAGGGUGCGUAGGUGGGCUUAUAAGUCAGUGGUGGAAUCUCCGAGCUUAACUUGGAAACUGCCGUUGNUACUAUAGGUCUUGAAUUAUCUGGAGGUAAGCGGAAUAUGUCAUGUAGCGGUGAAAUGCUUAGAUAUGACAUAGAACACCAAUUGCGAAGGCAGCUUACUACAUAUAAAUUGACGCUGAGGCACGAAAGCGUGGGGAUCAAACA